rnacentral:sRNA from 1 species
UGCCUCUCCCACCGUCUUAACCCGAACUCGGGCUUGUGGCGUCCUCCCGUGGGCCGGAUAGAGUGCCCUAGUCCAGCUAACGGAUUCAGCCUGGAGCGUUCUGGUGAAUGCUGCUUUCCUCUUUGGUGCCGCGAAGUAGAAAUCGGGAUAAGGGUUGUCAUGGCCGGAGGGAGCGAAGAGAAUCCAGGUCUAUUAUUAGCAGAAGAUUUUUCUGCAUAGUUGGCACGCUGUA